GCCGGGGUGGCCGAGGGGUCAGGCGGCGGGCUGCAGACCCGUUAUACCGGGGUUCAAAUCCCCGCCCCGGCU
rnacentral:tRNA from 1 species